rnacentral:rRNA from 1 species
GUGGGGAAUAUUGGGCAAUGGGCGAAAGCCUGACCCAGCAACGCCGCGUGAAGGAAGAAGGUUUUCGGAUCGUAAACUUCUAUCCUUGGUGAAGAUAAUGACGGUAGCCAAGAAGGAAGCCCCGGCUAACUACGUGCCAGCAGCCGCGGUAAUACGUAGGGGGCAAGCGUUGUCCGGAAUGAUUGGGCGUAAAGGGCGCGUAGGCAGCCCGGUAAGUCUGAAGUGAAAGUCCUGCUUUUAAGGUGGGAAUUGCUUUGGAUACUGUCGGGCUUGAGUGCAGGAGAGGUAAGCGGAAUUCCCGGUGUAGCGGUGAAAUGCGUAGAGAUCGGGAGGAACACCAGUGGCGAAGGCGGCUUACUGGACUGUAACUGACGCUGAGGCGCGAAAGUGUGGGGAGCAAACAGGAUUAGAUACCCCUGUAGUCC